GGCCACGUGGUGAAGAAGCUAACACGGCAGUCUGCAAAACUGCUACACGAGGGUGCGAAUCCCUCCGUGGCCU
rfam:Microgenomates (Woesebacteria) bacterium GW2011_GWA1_39_8 TT61_C0019, whole genome shotgun sequence.